CCUACGGGUGGCUGCAGUGGGGAAUAUUGGACAAUGGGGGGAACCCUGAUCCAGCCAUGCCGCGUGUGUGAAGAAGGCCCUCGGGUUGUAAAGCACUUUCAGUGAGGAAGAACGCCUGGUGGUUAAUACCCAUCAGGAAAGACAUCACUCACAGAAGAAGCACCGGCUAACUCCGUGCCAGCAGCCGCGGUAAUACGGAGGGUGCGAGCGUUAAUCGGAAUUACUGGGCGUAAAGCGCGCGUAGGUGGCUUGAUAAGCCGGUUGUGAAAGCCCCGGGCUCAACCUGGGAACGGCACCCGGAACUGUCAAGCUAGAGUGCAGGAGAGGAAGGUAGAAUUCCCGGUGUAGCGGUGAAAUGCGUAGAGAUCGGGAGGAAUACCAGUGGCGAAGGCGGCCUUCUGGACUGACACUGACACUGAGGUGCGAAAGCGUGGGUAGCAAACAGGAUUAGAUACCCUAGUAGUC
rnacentral:rRNA from 1 species